AAGAGGAGAUGAAGAAGAAAUACCCUCAUUUGUUCCCUAUGCCCUCAGUUGGUUUGGAAGAAAGAGCCCUUGGUUCAUCAUCUUGAUCAUAUAGUCAAGUGAAGAAGAUUGAGUAAGAAGAUUUUUGACGAAACGGGAAGUGAGUUUGGAAAGGCGUAAGGAGCUUGAAAGGUA